CUUUUUUCGAAAUUUUGAUCAGCUUGUAGACAGGGCUACCAAGCAUUGUUGAAGUGUUUACUUACAUUAUGCUUUCUCCUUUGCAGACUUUUCCAACUUUCCGUAAAUUCCGUGUUUUUCCGCCCACAAACACACCCGUCAGCGGUUCCUCACACGAAAAUACGGAAAACGUUACGGAAUUUACGGAAAGUUGGAAAUCUCUG
rnacentral:lncRNA from 1 species